UGAGGAAUAUUGGUCAAUGGGCGGGAGCCUGAACCAGCCAAGCCGCGUGAAGGAAGAAGGCGCUAAGCGUCGUAAACAUCUUUUGUCGGGGAACAAAGGUCCGGACGUGUCCGGAUGAGAGUGUACCCGAAGAAAAAGCAUCGGCUAACUCCGUGCCAGCAGCCGCGGUAAUACGGAGGAUGCGAGCGUUAUCCGGAUUUAUUGGGUUUAAAGGGUGCGUAGGCGGUCUGUUAAGUCAGCGGUAAAAGCCCGGGCUCAACCCGGCGAGCCGUUGAACUGGCGGACUAGAGAGGGCGAGAAGUACGCGGAAUGCGCAGUGUAGCGGCGAAAUGCAUAGAUAUUGCGCAGAACUCCGAUUGCGAAGGCAGCGUACCGGCGCCUUUCUGACGCUGAGGCACGAAAGCGUGGGUAUCGAACAGGAUAGAUACC
rnacentral:rRNA from 1 species